GUCUCGAUAGAGUUUCGCAAGCGUGUCGGAUGUGAGGACCCGUUCGACUACGUCGGUUCGUCUGCUUCACGGAGGCAUUCUUCUUCCAAGCGGGAUCUCAGGCAAGAUGACCAUUUCCCCAGAUACCAUUACUAUCAUUGCCAUGCUAGUUUUACCGUUUCUAUCGUUUAUGUCUCGUUGCCUACCACCUGUUAAAUAACAGCCCCUCAGCAAUGCCAUGAAACCUUCAACCUGUUCGACCUAGCAAACCACUGAUUGGCUAUGUUACUGCUUGCUUAACCUUGUUGUUAGCGUUGCUAGUUGCAGGUGCAGUUGCUUCCAUGUGAAAACAUGGGUUCCUUGUCAUAUCACCAUAUUAAUGCUAUUUAAUUUAAUGCACCUAUAUACUUGGUAAAAGGUGGAAGGCUCGGCCUUUCUAGCCUGGUGUUUUAUUCCACCUUUGCACCCUUUAGUUACCGGCUACCGGUGUUAUGUUCCAUAAAUGAGCGCUCCUAACACGUUCGGGGUUGUUAUGGGGACACCUUGAUAAUUCGUUUUAGAUUAAAGCUGGUCUGGCAAGGCCCAACUUUGGUACUACAUUUGCCUAAUAUCUAAUGAACUGCAUAGGGAAUAAUUAACCCGAGGAAAUUUAAUCAACCCCCGGGCCAGUGCUCCUUAUGAGUGUUGGUCCAAAACAGAGCACUGUGCGGGGCCACCGCGAGGAAACUCGAGGUUUGACACUUGUACACGUCGCUUAUCCGUCGUGUCCUGAGAACGAGGUACGCGACUCCUAUCGGGAUCGUCGACACGUCGGGCGGCCUUGCUGGAUUAGUUUUACCUUUGACGAGAUAUCUUGUGCAUCGGGAUUCCGGUGAUGCUUUGGGUAAUCUCAGAGUUGAGGUUUUCCAUUAGGGAAUCCGACGAGAUCGCGAGCUUCGUGAUUGAGGAUUUCUAUGCGGCUUGUGGUAAUUUGUGAUGGAAUAGUUGGAGCACCCCUGCAGGGUUAAAUCUUUCGGAAAGCCGUGCCCACGGUUAUGUGGCAACGUGGAAACUUUGUUUAACACUGGUUCUAGAUAACCCGAAGUUAAUUAAUUAAAACAUGCCUACUGUGUGCGUAGCCGUGACUGUCUCUUUCGUGAGUUCUUUCUCCGAUCGAGGACACGGUGGAGUUAUGUCUGACGUAGGUAGGUGUUCAGGAUCAAUCACUUGAUCAUCAGUAGUUCACGUCCGUUACGCGUAGACCUUCUCCCUCUUAUUUCUUGUACUCGUAAGUUUAGCCACCAAAUAUAUGCUUAGCCGCUGCUGCAACCUCACCACUUAACCUCGCCUCACCUAAUAAGCUUUGCUAGUCUUGAUACCUUUGGAAAUGAGAUUGUUGAGUCCCCUGUGGCUCACAGAUUACUACAACAUCAGUUGCAGGUACAGGUAAAGGGUACUUGACGCGAGCGCGUUGAUUGUUCAUUUGGAGUUGCUUCUUCUUCUUCUUCUUCAUCGAUCUGGGAUGGGUUUCAGGCCGGCAGCCUGGGAUAGCAAGGAUGGACGUCGUUCUUCUUUUGUCGUUUGUUUUCGUCCGUAGACGGACCCUGCUCUUACUCUUN
rnacentral:lncRNA from 1 species